GGGGCCAUAGCUCAGCUGGAAGAGCGCCUGCUUUGCACGCAGGAGGUCGCCGGUUCGAGUCCGGCUGGCUCCA
rnacentral:tRNA from 1 species